AUGCAGUCGAACGAUGAAGCUGUGCUUGCACAGUGGAUUAGUGGCGAACGGGUGAGUAACACGUGAGUAACCUGCCCUCCACUUUGGGAUAACUCCGAGAAAUCGGGGCUAAUACUGGAUAUGACCUUGGCCCGCAUGGGUUGUGGUGGAAAGUUUUUCGGUGGGGGAUGGGCUCGCGGCCUAUCAGUUUGUUGGUGAGGUAGUGGCUCACCAAGGCGAUGACGGGUAGCCGGCCUGAGAGGGCGACCGGCCACACUGGGACUGAGACACGGCCCAGACUCCUACGGGAGGCAGCAGUGGGGAAUAUUGCACAAUGGGCGAAAGCCUGAUGCAGCGACGCCGCGUGGGGGAUGACGGCCUUCGGGUUGUAAACCUCUUUCAGCAAGGAAGAAGCGAAAGUGACGGUACUUGCAGAAGAAGCGCCGGCUAACUACGUGCCAGCAGCCGCGGUAAUACGUAGGGCGCAAGCGUUGUCCGGAAUUAUUGGGCGUAAAGGGCUUGUAGGUGGCUUGUCGCGUCUGCCGUGAAAACUCGAGGCUUAACCUUGGGCGUGCGGUGGGUACGGGCAGGCUAGAGUGCGGUAGGGGAGACUGGAAUUCCUGGUGUAGCGGUGAAAUGCGCAGAUAUCAGGAGGAACACCGAUGGCGAAGGCAGGUCUCUGGGCCGUUACUGACACUGAGAANCGAAAGCAUGGGGAGCGAGA
rnacentral:rRNA from 1 species